rfam:Mogibacterium pumilum strain ATCC 700696 genome.
UCCGGUGACAAUAGCAGAGAGGUUACACCUGUUCCCAUCCCGAACACAGAAGUUAAGCUCUUUAGCGCUGAAGAUACUUGGUGGGAAGCUGCCUGGGAAAUUAGGACGUCGCCGGUU